GCGUCCGUAGCUCAGUUGGUUAGAGCACCACCUUGACAUGGUGGGGGUCGGUGGUUCGAAUCCACCCGGGUGCACCA
rnacentral:tRNA from 1 species